AGGUUCAGGCUCAGGAAGUUGGGAGAAUUUAAUGUUCCUGCUCUGCUGUUUAUCAUUCGUUAGGUUUUUCUACAGAGGCAUGAUGGGAAACAGUCUCAAGUAUGUGGCUGUAGUCUCCAUGAUGGGAACCUGAAAACCUCUACAUGAUUUAGACAAAACAGACAUCUGCUGGACAUACAAAGAAAGUUGGAGUCAAAUAAAUAAAAAAAACAAGACUGAGAUCUGAGAACAAUGUUUAAUUUUACCAGAUACUUCAAACAUCAUCCUGUGGGACAGGACAAAAAGAGGACAGAAAGGGCUGAGAGAGGAGAAAGAGGGCAGAGAGAGGACAAAUGAUAUAAGAGAGAGGGCAGAGGAUGGAAAGAAUAGAGGGGAAAGUGACAGGAAAGGGAGUCGAAGAGGGUCCUGAUUUGGUGAGGGUCAGACCAGCUGUAGUGUGGGACAGCUGUGACUCUUUGGAGAUCUAGAAAGUUGCGGUAUGGCGCUCAGCAUCUUCCCAGAGAGAGGGGGUGGGACCUCAGGACACCUGGACACAGACAAAGUGUGUAAGGAAAAGGAGAAGAAGAUGAGAGGAGGAGGAAGGAGACAGGUGUGAAAGUCUGGCUUCAAGUUUGUGUUAUGUCCUUAUGUUCUGACUUUUUGUCUGGCUGUAGACUAUAGUGUCCUCAGAUCACUCUGAGAGUUUGACCUCUGAGACACCCUCCUCUGACCAACUACAGGGCUUUAAUCAGGAGAAAUCAGCGAUGCCUAUUAGAGGAGGAAGAUGGACCUCUGCCUCACCUUCAAGUUUCCAACUAUUUUGCCGUUUCUAUUUGACAAACUGAAGACUACAGACCGUCCUCUAAGUCUGUCUCUGUCCUCUGAGUCUGUCCUGUGAGUUACAGCGAUAUCUUCAGUCAGUAGGGUGUCAGUUACUGUUCCUCCUCUUGUAAACAGAACCUUAAUCAGUCUCUCCGGCUCCAUCCUUCCUUUCUCCUCUUCUUCAGUAAUAACUUCAGUCGGUUCUCAAAGUUAGUUGUAGUUUCUCAUCAUAUUAAAGCAGCUCUGUCCUCCUUUCACAAACACCACAGGGGACUGCUGUCUCCACCUUUGGAACGGGCACUAACACAGACCGAUAUGAAGACUGUGUGUGUGUGUGUGUGUAUGUGUGGUACCUGUCGUCUCCAGCUGUACACAACCCGUCCUUCAGACUGUCCUCCUCAGUCUCAGGAGCCAAAACGACCUACAAAUAAACUGACUCCAUUACACCUCUGAUACCUUUCUGUCUCUAUCACCAACACACUUUCUCACACACACAUACACACUUUACCUUUGGGUAACACUGGCAGAUGCUCCACACACUCCCCACACACACCAUGAAGACUCCGAGGACACAAACAGUGAUGAAGAUGUGUGGUCGCUCCCUCACCAUGAUGAAGAGGCCGAGAGCAAUCGCACACACGCCAGCAGAGAUCAGUCCGUAUCGAUACGGUUUCCCUUCCACCAUCGCAAAGCUGCAGGUGUGUGUGUGUGUGUGUGUAUUUGAGCGAGUGAGUGCCAGCUGACACUGAGGCAAACAACACAAACUCACGGAAACACACACUCUGAUAGUGUUUGGUGUUUUCUGAUCUGAAGCUGAGGGAGGGGUCAGUUAGUGUUUCACUGCUGCUUAUUACAGCCUGAGGCCUCACUACAGGUGUGUGUGUGUGUGUGUGUGUGUGUGUGUGUGUGUGUGUGUGUGUGUGUGUGUGUGUGUGUGUGUGUGUGUGUGUGUGUGUGUGUGUGUAGGUCACCUUGUCUGCAGUUGUGUUAGCUCGAGUACUUUUAGUUUUCCUUUCUUCCGCUGUGAUUUACUCUGAGCCUGUGCUGGGUUCAUUCUGUUGGUAGUUUCAUUUAAAAUGAUAACUUGAAAACUCAUUUAUGUCUUUGACCUCAGAUUAAAGCUACCAUGUGUUGAUUUUAGCUUUAUUCAUCAGAGCACAUUUGGUAUAAAGUGAAUCUAACACUUAUCUUCAAAAAGUUGAAGCAGAGUGGUUUAUGUGCCUGACUGUCAGUCCUCUCAGUGUAAACAUUUACCUGUUUUUACCUGUUAAGUCAUAAAGUGGAUAAGAUGAAUUAUGCAUCAUAGGAGCUUCUUGUCCUCAAAGGCCUUCGUAGCUCCACUCACAAAUUACAUGAAAUUUGUCUUCACAUGCAUUUAAAAAAAAAUCAACUUGAGCUACAAAUUUACUUGACGCUGUUGCACGAUAAUCAAUCAGCAUGAACAGGAGACCAUGAUGGAUGAUGUUGGAGAUAGAGGUAGUCUGCUGGCAUCAGGAGCAGUACAACUCAACCUGAUUAAUCAACAGAAACUUAGCCGAGAAGCAGGGGAACCUGGGUAAAGCUUUCAGAUAAGCAAGCUGCAUGGUGAGUUCAAGAAACUUGUGUUUGUUACAUACCAAGUUAGCUAACAUAACCUCAAGCGCAUUUAGCACACUCGUAGCUGGCCAAUGGUGUAUUAUUCUGCCACCAGGUGACCCACAUGCAGAAGAAAGCAAGUUUGAGAGUAAGAGGUAGAAUCUGAGCCGGGGUCUGGUACAAAGUUGAAAUAUGUGGCAACCCCUUGUGAACUACGGAGGGUUCUGAAGAGUUUUACCCCACCUCACUGCUUACCACAUUGGAGACCCCAAUGGGCUCUGUGCACAGCUCCACUCCUUCCUGAACUUAGGGCAGCUUCUUUAUUUCCUGUCUUACAUUAUUGGACAAACUGAAGAGCUGUGAGCUGUACACCAGGUUUCUGUAUAAAUCACCAGUGCACAAGCGU